CCUACGGGUGGCUGCAGUGGGGAAUAUUGCACAAUGGGGGCAACCCUGAUGCAGCGACGCCGCGUGAGUGAAGAAGGCUUUCGGUAUGUAAAGCUCUAUUUGCAGGGAAGAAAAUGACGGUACCUGACUAUGACUCCCCGGCUAACUACGUUCCAGCAGCCGCGGGAAUACGGAGGGGGCAAGCGUUAUCCGGAUUUACUGGGUGUAAAGGGUGCGUAGGCGGGAGGGCAAGUCAGAAGUGAAAUCCCGUGGCUUAACCAUGGAACUGCUUUGGAAACUGUGCAGCUAGAGAGCAGGAGAGGUAGGCGGAAUUCAUGGUGUAGCGGUGAAAUGCGUAGAGAUUAGGAAGAACACCAGUGGCGAAGGCAGCUUACUAGGCUGUAACUGACGUUGAGGCACGAAAGCGUGGGGAGCAAACAGGAUUAGAUACCCGAGUAGUC
rnacentral:rRNA from 1 species